CGUUGUCUCUGAUUGAGAACCAUACUUAGGUAGCCUUUUCCCACCUGUGUUUUGUGGGUAGUUGUUUUCUGUUUUUGUGUCUGCACCAGACAGAACUGUUUUGGUUUCGUUCGUUCUCUUUGUUAUUUUUGUUAUUCAGUGUUCAGUUCUAUGAAUAAAUCAUGAACACUUACCACGCUGCGCUUUGGUCCACUUCUUCAUGCAACGAUGACCGUAACAGAACUACCCACCACCAAAGGACCAAGCAGCGUGGCCAGGAUAGGCAGCCCCAAUACGGGACGGUCGGCGAAGCCCGAGGAUGGAACCAGAGCCAGUCGGGGUGAAAUUGGAGGGAAGAGGAAACACUGCGAGCACAACCAGCGAAUACCUGAACUUCAUGAGGGAGACCGAGGCCUCAUACCUGGAGACACUUGAGGCCCAGCGUCAGUAGCGGGAUCAGCACUUCAAUCAACUAUGUGAAGAUGAGUCAGCAGCCAGAGAGCCAGUGUUCUUAAUGUUUUGUAUACUCAGUGUAUACUUGUUGGGGUGGGAUUGGUAUUGGGUGUGGGUCCGUGGUUGUCUUUUGUCCAUUCGUUUGGAUUCCUAAUGUCUAACUCAUUGUUAUAAAAAAAAGUUUGAUUCAAAUAUGA